AUGCAGAGCAAUAAAACCUUUAACUUGGAGAAGUAAAACCAUAAUCCAAGGAAGCAUCAUCAGCAUCACCACCAGCAGCAAGAGCAGCAGCCACCACUGCCACCAAUACCUGCAAAUGGGCAACAAGCCAGCAGCCAAAAUGAAGGCUUGACUAUUGACCUGAAGAAUUUUAGGAAACCAGGAGAGAAGACCUUCACCCAACGUAGCCGGCUUUUUGUGGGCAAUCUUCCUCCUGACAUCACUGAGGAGGAGAUGGAUAAGGGCUUUGGCUUUAUCUGCUUGGAAACACGAACCCUAGCAGAGAUUGCCAAAGUAGAACUGGACAACAUGCCACUCCGUGGAAAGCAGCUGCGUGUGCGCUUUGCCUGCCAGAGUGCAUCCCUUACAGUCCGAAACCUUCCUCAGUAUGUUUCCAAUGAACUGCUGGAGGAAGCCUUUUCGGUGUUUGGCCAGGUGGAAAGGGCUGUAGUCAUCGUGGAUGAUAGAGGAAGGCCCUCAGGAAAAGGUAUUGUUGAAUUCUCAGGGAAGCCAGCUGCUCGGAAAGCUCUGGACAGGUGCAGUGAAGGCUCCUUCCUGCUAACCACAUUUCCUUGGCCUGCGACUGUGGAGCCCAUGGACCAGUUGGAUGAUGAAGAGGGACUUCCAGAGAAGCUGGUUAUAAAGAACCAGCAAUUUCACAAGGAGCGAGAGCAGCCACCCAGAUUUGCACAGCCUGGCUCCUUUGAGUAUGAGUAUGCCAUGCGCUGGAAGGCACUCACGGAGAUGGAGAAGGAGCAGCAGGACCAAGUGGACCACAACAUCAAGGAAGCUCGUGAGAAGCUGCAGAUGGAGAUGGAGGCCACUCGCCAUGAGCACCAGGUCAUGCUAAUGAGACAGGAUUUGAUGAGGCGUCAAGAAGAACUUUGGAGGAUGGAAGAGCUGCACAACCAAGAAGUGCAAAAACGAAAGCAACUGGAGCUCAGGCAGAAGGAGGAACGCAGGCGCCGUGAGGAAGAGAUGCGGCGGCAACAGGAAGAAAUGAUGUGGCGACAGCAGGAAGGAUUCAAGGGAACAUUCCCUGAUGCGAGAGAACAGGAGAUACGGAUGGGCCAGAUGGCUAUGGGAGGUGCUACGGGCAUCAACAACAGAGGCGCCAUGCCCCCUGCUCCAGUGCCAGCAGGUACCCCAGCUCCUCCAGGACCUGCCACUAUGAUGCCAGAUGGAACCUUGAUAUUGACCCCAUCAACAACUGAACGCUUUGGCCAAGCUGCUACAAUGCAAGGAAUUGGGGCACUUGGUGGAACCCCUCCUGCAUUCAACCGUGCAGCUCCUGGAGCUGAAUUUGCUCCAAACAAACGUCACUGAUACUAAUAAAAAUUUCAACGUCUAGUUUCCCCAAAACCCUUAAAAGAAGGACCCUUUUUGGACUAGCCAGAAUUCUGCCCUGGAAAAGUGUUAGGGAUUCCUCCCAAUAGUUAGGUCUUCCUUGCCUGUACUACUCUGAGGGAGUUUGCUGGAGGCUGAGAGCAAGGGAGGGGUGAUAUUUAACAGAUCAGUUCUGUGUGGUAUAUCGUUUAACUCAUUGAUUUUGUAUGGCACAUUCCUGAAGUCUCAUGUGAUUGUUGGGGGCCU